UUUAUAAAACAGCACAAAAAGGGAUCAGACUGAGUAGUCUAGCCAGUGUCACAAAACUAAUACAGAAUAUUAUUGUCAAAAGCCAGGAGGAAAUGAUACCUAAUGAUGCAGCUGAAUAUUCAUUCAUUCAUUCAUUCAUUCAUUCAUUCAUUUGCCUUUUGCGGUGCUAGAGAUCAAGCCCAGGCAAGCGUUUAGACACACUUACUCUUAAACACACACACACACACACACACACACCCUUUCCCCCCCCCCCUUAAAAAAUUUUUUGAACAUUUUUUUUGAAAUAGGAUCUUACUAAGUACCCUGCCUGGCCUGGAACUUUGCCAUGUGUACCAGGCUGGCCAUGAAUUUGUCGCAAUCUUCCUGCUUCUACUUCUGAAGUGCUGGGUUACAAGCAUGUGCCACCAGGCCUGGCUUACAAUGCCUUUUUCUACCUUCCUCGCCACAGAAAACUAAUAUUAUAAAAUUAUGUACACCAAUUAUGUAUAAAACACUUAACAUUACCAUAAGCCUAUUAUAUAUUUACAAUAAUUAUUUUAAGUUGAAUUAACAAAUCUUAUAACCUAUUUUCACAACCUAACAAAAAAUACAGUAAAAAAAAUUAGGUUAAUGUCAGACAUGGGUACGUAGUGAGUCUGAGACCAGCUGAGGCCACAUGAGACCUGUUUCACAAAAACAAGUUUUUCCAUGUCAAGUAUUUAUUUAUAUUAAGUCAUAAUGAAAAUUAAUUAUUUCCUUCUUAUUGGACAUUUGAGCUAUUUCCAAGUCAUCACCAAAUUAUACCAAUGUUUCCUAAUAUUUUGGUCUUGGGACCCCUUCAUUUUACUAUUUACCAGUGAGGAACCCAAAGCCUCUUUGUUCACAUGGGUUAUACAUAUCCAGUCAAAAUUUAUAACACUAGAAUUUAAAACUAAGGAAAAUUUAGACUAUUUCUCUUCCUUUACUUAAAAUAUGAUCACAUGUUUUUAUUUUUAAAAUGUUACACCACAACAAUAGAAAUGUUUACGGAGAGCACUAGUUCACAACUACAACCCUCUUUAGCUCAGGCAUAGUGGAAGGCAGUUGGGUUAUUUUUUAAUGCAGGUUAAGUGUGAGUGCUCUGGGUGAGUAGACAGGGAACACAGACAACAUUAGAAGAGGGAGCAGCACUUAAAUAGCUUUUCCAAACACUGGCUAUUCGUCCUUGACAGCAAACCAAAAUCUGUUGACUGGUCUCUGCAGAGCUAGCUACAACAUGGGAUCUGAAAGUACUACUAGGGGAUUUCUGUACUGGUACAUUAAAAUCAGUCUACUUUACAAUAACCAAAUAAUGACCAUUUGAAAUUUAUUAAGUUGGUGGGUUAGAUAAAAACUUCAAAAAUUCCUAUUACUCAGUAUGAGGAACUUGUGUUUUUAAAUUACACUUCCCAGCAGGUCAUAAACAUUUCAGGAUGCUCUCAAAAUCACAGUCAGACACAAGAGUUUCAAAUAAUUUUUCACUUGGACAAACUGGAUUUUACAACUGAGAAGAAAUAUAUCAACAUUUUUUCCCUUUGAAUUAAAAGCUCUACUAGGUCUUUAUAUCAGAUCUCAUUUGUCAUUUUUACAAGUAAAAUGAUGUUCUACC
rnacentral:lncRNA from 1 species